AUUGAACGCUGGCGGCAGGCCUAACACAUGCAAGUCGAGCGGAUGAAGGGAGCUUGCUCCUGGAUCAGCGGCGGACGGGUGAGUAAUGCCUAGGAAUCUGCCUGGUAGUGGGGGAUAACGUCCGGAAACGGGCGCUAAUACCGCAUACGUCCUGAGGGAGAAAGUGGGGGAUCUUCGGACCUCACGCUAUCAGAUGAGCCUAGGUCGGAUUAGCUAGUUGGUGGGGUAAAGGCCUACCAAGGCGACGAUCCGUAACUGGUCUGAGAGGAUGAUCAGUCACACUGGAACUGAGACACGGUCCAGACUCCUACGGGAGGCAGCAGUGGGGAAUAUUGGACAAAGGGCGAAAGCCUGAUCCAGCCAUGCCGCGUGUGUGAAGAAGGUCUUCGGAUUGUAAAGCACUUUAAGUUGGGAGGAAGGGCAGUAAGUUAAUACCUUGCUGUUUUGACGUUACCAACAGAAUAAGCACCGGCUAACUUCGUG
rnacentral:rRNA from 1 species